UGGGGAAUAUUGGACAAUGGGGGCAACCCUGAUCCAGCCAUGCCGCGUGAGUGAUGAAGGCCUUAGGGUUGUAAAGCUCUUUCACCGGUGAAGAUAAUGACGGUAACCGGAGAAGAAGCCCCGGCUAACUUCGUGCCAGCAGCCGCGGUAAUACGAAGGGGGCUAGCGUUGUUCGGAAUUACUGAGCGUAAAGCGCACGUAGGCGGAUUGUUAAGUCGAGGGUGAAAUCCCAGGGCUCAACCCUGGAACUGCCUUCGAUACUGGCAUUCUUGAGUCCGAGAGAGGUGAGUGGAAUUCCGAGUGUAGAGGUGAAAUUCGUAGAUAUUCGGAAGAACACCAGUGGCGAAGGCGGCUCACUGGCUCGGAACUGACGCUGAGGUGCGAAAGCGUGGGGAGCAAACAGGAUUAGACACCCUGGUAGUCCACGCCGUAAACGAUGGGUGCUAGCCGUAGGGCAGCUUGCUGUUCAGUGGCGCCGCUAACGCUUUAAGCACCCCGCCUGGGGAGUAGGUCGCAAGAUUAAAACUCAAAGGAAUUGNCGGGGUCAUAGCUGUUUCC
rnacentral:rRNA from 1 species